UUUUUUUUAAUGUUCCUUCACUGCUGUGGAAAAAUGAAGUGGCCUCUCAGUAAUAAAUAGAAUGUUGUUGUUUUUUUAGGAAGAUGUCACAGGUGGAGCCGCGCCCCCAUGGUUGGUCAACGAACCCGGCUGCAGUGGUCCAGUAGAUUGGCUGACAAACCGGCCGUCAGUGUCCACGUGGCCCAGUCUUCAUGCUACAAAAAGGGGGCGCUGCAGACAAACUUCAGGAACUACGGGCUAUCGUGGUAGACGAGCAGUUUCCAUGGAAACUGAACCUGAGUUGUUACCUCCCACGGCUCGGGGAAAAAGAAGAAAAGAUGAGAUUACCAGCCGCGGGAGUUUCACAAGUUUGUUAUUGUUGGCAAGUCCAUGUGGCCAAAACACUGGCCUCCAAACAGAACGUUGCACACGGUCCCGGAGAGAUGAAAAAUGGAGGGAACAUCUGCUGAAUCGAUUUUCAGGACUUGAUUCAAGUCGCUCUGUGUUGUCUUUUAUAUCUAUAUCUAUAUGGAGCACCAUUGGCUGUGAAGAUAGAGCGCCUCCUACUGUACUAUUAUAUAUUAACGUAUAAUAUCUGUCUCAUAUAUAUCUGCUGAAUGUUAUAUAUAAACACACCUUGUUAGUUAGUUUUGGGUCGAUCAGUGGUCUCACCUUAAGGUCGGGCUGCACAAUGAAUCGACAUUUCAGGAUUUUAGACGCCACGAUUAAUUUAAGAUGGUCGUCGGCGAUAUUUACGUUUAGAAAAUGGGCUCCGCAUAAGAAAUCAAGCACAACAAAUAGUCAGCCAACCACCAGGGGGCGAGCGAAAGCUGCCUGAUUGGUCAUCGGAAGUUAUCGUGACCUGCAGUCACCGGAAGAGUGAGACGUAAUGGCGGCACAAAGCGACGGUAGCGUUUGAAGGGAGGUGGGCCGCCCAGGAACUGAGGGUCCUUGUCUGUCCUGUCAACACCAGCGGAGCGGCCUGCCAACCAGGUGAACAAGGAGGCCAGUGUGUGUGUGACUUAAACACAGUGUCUUUACAGAAAAGUAACUUUUUUUCAACUGAAUAUCAACUGAAUUUGGUUUAAAAAUAAACGUCGUCCAUGAUUGGUUGAAAACACUCUUCACUGUAAAAACUGACAGUGUGUUGGAUUCAGGACCGUUUCUGAGGCAGGUUUGAAUUUCAAAUGUUUAAAUCAUCUGAACUUAAUAAUUCAAAGUGAG